AGCAGGGCUCACCGGGGCCUGUCCCGCCGCCCCGCCGCCGAGGAGGGCCGAUGGGCGUGCCAACACUGCCCUCCAGCGGCCAGCGUGCCGAACGGCACACGCGAAGGCCGUCAGAACUGCCUCAGCCCACCCCGCGCUGGGCUCAAACACCCGUGGGGAAGUUCCUAUAGUCACAAGUGGAAAACAACCGGUGGUCUCUAGCGUGCUGUGUUGCUAAGUGACGACGUUAAAGGCAGCAAGUGCCCUUUCCCCCGCUACCUGGCAUGUUCAGCAUAUCACGACUUACUGGAAAUGGUUCGCCAUACAUCAAGGAGCAUCCGCAAUUUAUACUGGGGGCCCUUCCUCAAAGCCUGAAGGAGAACCACAUGUGUUAGAGUGUGCUGGGCAGCGAUAAGAAGAUAGUCAACUACCCGUCCGUGCAUCCCGUGCUGUGUCUGGGACCCAUUUCUCCAGUGAACGCUGCUAAGCACCUGUUGUAUGCCCCGCACUCACGCCACAGUUAGAGCAUGUGAGGAGGGCCACAAAGGACGAGCCCACCCUGUCCUUGUCCUGCUGUUCCAAGCACCGUAGAGGGCGGAUAGGUUGGCAUGCCACCCCCUCGGCAGGCUCACCUGCCACCUCUCCUGUUUAUUCACCUCCCUAAUCACCCUGGGGUUGGCCAGGUUGGCACAGGACCACCAUGAAUGCUAUUAUGAGGAUGCUUGUUGCAGGGAACCCGUACCAACUUGGAAAAGCGGAUGGGGUAAGCACCAGCCAGAGCCUCUUUGUUGUUCAGGGGGGAGUGGGGAAGGUAUUUUCCGUUAGCCCUGUCACCUGGUGGGCGGCACAGUCCCUUUAUUUCAUCAUCAGAGGAAUGGAGGAUUGGGAUAGGAGGAGUAUUAGAUGCUCCAGCUCACUCAGUCCAUCCAGCACACUGUUCUGGAGGGAGUUGAGUUCCUGUCCAGGGCCCCUACCACUCCAGGGUUAUACAAAGUAAGGUCUCUGGGGGUCAGUGGACUCCAGGCCUUUUGAGCUGGGGUUGAGAAGAACACAUAAUAAAUUAAUUAAUUAAUUAAUUAAAUAUUUUAGAAAACUGCCCUUUCCGAUUCAAACCGGUUCAGUUCAGCUCCUGAUUCUGUGUUAUCUCCAGCAAGGAGCUUGAUCUCUCUCAGCCUCAGUUGCUUCGUCUGGGAAAUGGGGAAGCACAGCAUUCUGCCUCGUCGGAAGAUUCCGGAGAUUAGUAAUGACAGCCGUCACGUCUCUGGUGCUGACACCAAGCCAGGCACCCGGGGCUUCUCAUGAGGUCAUGUGUGGAAGCCCUGGCCUCUGGCCAGCCAGGAGUCAAGCCCCAUCACGGGAGGCACGGGUGCAGUUUCACAAUAGCGCUGGUGCUCAGCGCAUGUGGUUAACGUUUAAUAGUGGAAGAAGUUUAGCAAGCCCUAGGCACAUAGUAAGCGCUCGAUAAAUGGCCUUCAUUAUAAGCCAGAGAAUGGGGACCUGUGUGUGGAAGUCCCAUGACAAAGAAUGUGGAGAGGUAGGCGGCCCAAGGUGAUGCUUCCCCGUCUAUUUCUUUCUCCCCAGGAGGGCCAGCCCUGUGUGUGUGUUAGCCAGCUCCCCAGGCUGGGACGUCAGUUCUUACUCACUCUCCCCAGGGAGAAGCUUAAUUAGCCUCCCAGCAGCCAGGAGCACCCCAGAUGAAAGGUGCUGAAUGUGAGUAUAAGGCGUGACCCCCAUAUUUACAACCAAGGCUCCCUUAGGUGAGGAAGGCCGGGGGCGGAAGAGGCAGGCCAGAUCAGGGCCUUGCCUUGUUUAUGACAGAGGUUCUCAGGAAAGGGAGCUGGCUGCGGUGGCUGUGUGUCUGAGAAGU